AUUCAGUGUGUGAACUAGGUGAUCGACCUCGUCUUCGGGACGUGUUUAUAAAUGUGUUUUAGCUUUUAUAGAUGUAAAUACGCAAGAGGGAAAGAAAGAGAAACAGAACGUAACUAGGCCUAGUGCAAGCCAGUUGCAGAAUGCUGCCUUGAGGAACUCCGACGAAUUUGUGUCAAUUGGAGAGGAACCAGAUUCAUUUUUUUUUUUUUUUUUUUUGUGGAAAGUAACGUGAAAGUGACGCCGUAAUAUUCUACUUUAUAUACAAAACACAAACAACGGGAAACCGUAUUUUUACUUAUUUUUAAAAAUUCAGGCCACAGAACGUGAUUGAUACUAUAGGCCUAUAGGUGUAGGAUAGCAUUUAUCAACGUAAGAAGACUUUCGGAAUGGUUUUAUCUUACGCAAAUGGUGAUUUCUGCAAGAACUAUUUGACUAUUUGGUUAAUAAAUAGCUAACGGAAUAUUAUAUGGUACAUGAAACCUCUACACUUUUACCUAUUUUUAAAACUGGGCCAAUGAACGUGAUUGAUACUAUAGGCCUAGGUCUAGGAUAGCAUGUGUCAAGUACUCAAGGACUUUCAGAAUAGUUUUUCUAUACACAAGUGGUGAUUUCUUCAAACUAUUUGACUAUUUGGUUACUAAAUAUAUCAGGGAAUAUUGGAUGGUACUACGUGAAAGAACUGCUGCACUUUUAAAACUUAUUUUUAAACCCUAGACCACAGAACGUGAUUGUAUCAAUAGGCCUAGGUCUAGGAUAGUACAUAUAAACGUAAGAAGACUUUCGGUAUACAGUUUUUCUACACGCAAAUAGUGAUUUCUUCAAGAACUAUUUAACUAUUUGGUUAAUAGAUAUAGCUCUCGCGGAAUAUUGUAUGGUACUACGUGAAAGAUCUGCUGCCUUUUUAAAAACCUAUUAUUAAACCCUAGGCCACAGAACGUGAUUGUAUCAAUAGGCCUAGGUCUAGGAUAGUGUAUAUUAAAAUAAGAAGACUUUCGCUAUAUUUUUAUCAUAUGCAAGUGUUUAUUCCGUUAUUUCUUCAAUAACUAUUUGAAUAUUUGGUUACUAAGUAGCUCACGGAAUAUUGGAUGGUACAUACAAGGAAGAAUUGCAGCAUUUUUGUAACCUAUUUUUAAAACCUAGCACUAUACUAAUUCAAUAGGCCUAGUAGGUCUAGAAAACAUAGGUCAAAUUAUGGAAACUCUUAAAUAGUUUCUCUUUAAGCAAGUAGUGAUGUCUUCAAUAACUAUUUGAAUAUUAUGUUUACUAAAUAGUUCCUGGAUAUAACCACAACAAGUUUUAACUAUUGCCACUUGAGAAUUCCAAGAGAUAAACAGGCCUAGGUCUGGGAAUAUAUUUUCCAACGCAAGCACUUGAUUUCCUCAAUAACUAUUUGACUAUUUGGUUAGCAAAUAGUUCACGACCUUCGGAUUAAUCCUGGAAAUAACUACAAUACUUUUUAACUAUUGCCACUUGAGAAUUCCAAGCGAUAGACUCUUUAACACAUAGGCCUACGGUGGAAGCGGUUCAUUCCUCGUCAAAAAUAGUCGUCGCCUUCCCAGUGACGUGGAAAGCGAAUCAUUCGUCCAAGGACUUACCGCAGACUCCGCGGAUGGCUUUGGUCGCAUUGUCGGCGGAAUCAUUUCCGGAGUGAGGGCCGCAUGGGG